AGCUCCAAUAGCGUAUAUUAAAGUUGUUGCAGUUAAAAAGCUCGUAGUUGGAUCUCAGGCGCAGGCGGGCGGUCCGGCUCGCGCCGGCUCACUGCCCGUUGUUUCCUGCCCUACCCGUCUGCCGGCUCUCUCCCGCGUGGUGCUCUUCGCUGAGCGUCCCGGGUGGCCGGCGCGUUUACUUUGAAAAAAUUAGAGUGUUCAAAGCAGGCCUUAUCGCCUGAAUAAUGGUGCAUGGAAUAAUGGAAUAGGACCUCGGUUCUAUUUUGUUGGUUUUCGGAACUGGAGGUAAUGAUUAACAGGGACAAACGGGGGCAUUCGUAUGGCGGCGUUAGAGGUGAAAUUCUUGGAUCGCCGCUAGACGAGCUACUGCGAAAGCAUUUGUCAAGAAUGUUUUCAUUAA
rnacentral:rRNA from 1 species